rnacentral:rRNA from 2 species
UGAGACAGUUCGGUCCCUAUCUGCCGUGGGCGCUGGAGAAUUGAGGGGGGCUGCUCCUAGUACGAGAGGACCGGAGUGGACGCAUCACUGGUGUUCGGGUUGUCAUGCCAAUGGCAUUGCCCGGUAGCUAAAUGCGGAAAAGAUAAGUGCUGAAAGCAUCUAAGCACGAAACUUGCCCCGAGAUGAGUUCUCCCUGACUCCUUGAGAGUCCUGAAGGAACGUUGAAGACUACGACGUUGAUAGGCUGGGUGUGUAAGUGCAGCGAUGUAUUGAGCUAACCAGUACUAAUGAACCGUGAGGCUUAACCUUACAACGCCGAAG